GAUGAACGCUGGCGGCGUGCCUAAUACAUGCAAGUCGAGCGAACAGACGAGGAGCUUGCUCCUCUGACGUUAGCGGCGGACGGGUGAGUAACACGUGGAUAACCUACCUAUAAGACUGGGAUAACUUCGGGAAACCGGAGCUAAUACCGGAUAAUAUAUUGAACCGCAUGGUUCAAUAGUGAAAGACGGUUUUGCUGUCACUUAUAGAUGGAUCCGCGCCGCAUUAGCUAGUUGGUAAGGUAACGGCUUACCAAGGCAACGAUGCGUAGCCGACCUGAGAGGGUGACCGGCCACACUGGAACGGAGAAACGGUCCAGACUCCUACGGGAGGAAGCAGUAGGGAAUCUUCCGCAAUGGGCGAAAGCCUGACGGAGCAACGCCGCGUGAGUGAUGAAGGUCUUCGGAUCGUAAAACUCUGUUAUUAGGGAAGAACAAAUGUGUAAGUAACUAUGCACGUCUUGACGGUACCUAAUCAGAAAGCCACGGCUAACUACGUG
rnacentral:rRNA from 1 species